rnacentral:rRNA from 1 species
GACGAACGCUGGCGGCGUGCUUAACACAUGCAAGUCGAACGGUAAGGCCCUUCGGGGUACACGAGUGGCGAACGGGUGAGUAACACGUGGGUGAUCUGCCCUGCACUUCGGGAUAAGCCUGGGAAACUGGGUCUAAUACCGGAUAGGACCACUGCCUGCAUGGGUGGUGGUGGAAAGCUUUUGCGGUGUGGGAUGGGCCCUGGGCCUAUCAGCUUGUUGGUGGGGUGAUGGCCUACCAAGGCGACGACGGGUAGCCGGCCUGAGAGGGUGACCGGCCACACUGGGACUGAGAUACGGCCCAGACUCCUACGGGAGGCAGCAGUGGGGAAUAUUGCACAAUGGGCGCAAGCCUGAUGCAGCGACGCCGCGUGAGGGAUGACGGCCUUCGGGUUGUAAACCUCUUUCAGCACCGACGAAGCGCAAGUGACGGUAGGUGCAGAAGAAGGACCGGCCAACUACGUGCCAGCCGCCGCAGUAA